CGUAAUAACAGAAACUAACCAGGAUUCCCUUAGUAACGGCGAGUGAACUGGGAUACCAAUAUAUUUAUGCGUCUCUGGCGCAUAUUUUUAGCCCGUCGAUACUAUCCUAGCGUAUUACCGGUUUCGGCCGGUAGCCCAAUACGCGGGAAUUGUAGCAUCGUAAUAAAAUAUACACCAUGCCUGCGUCGCAAACGUAUAUACACGUAUACUCACACACACACAUACUCUCGUACGCGUACACACCCCUUGCAAACACACAGCGCUCCCGCGUUGGAAAGCAAGUCUAUAUCCUCUUUGGAUAUGCCAUAGAGUGUGACAGCCACGUUUGAAACACCCUACGUACCGUACACACACAUACGUAAAAUACGCGCUGCUUCGCAUACGCAUACCGUAUAUAACCUGAGUCGAGUUAUUU
rnacentral:rRNA from 1 species